GGAAUCAAUGGGGGAGAAAGAUGGCGGGGGCAGAGAGUGUGGGGGAGGAGGUAGGUCGGAGGGAGGGAAAGGGAGGGAUGGGAGUAGGGGAAGCCAGGGGUGGAGGAAGGUGGUGGAUACACGUCACAAAUACGUCACGCCUGUUCGAAUGUGCAAGUGGCUCACGCAGGUUUUGCCAUCACAUUCAAGAGUAAACGCCAUAAUUAACUGCAUCUGGCAAAGCACAAUAGCGUUAAAAAUUCGCGGAGUGUGUGAAACAAUCUGUGCCGAAGCCCCGCUGAUCCGAGUCUUCGUUUGAAGGAUAUUUGCGAAAAACGGUGUCAUGGGGUCUGAUAUGGAUAGUAGUUAUCUUCGAAUGCUCGUAUGGUGAUGAUUUCUACCUGUUCAGAUCUGCCUUUUCACUGGUCAGAUGUACAGUUUGAAUUGUUUCUUGUUAUUGCUUGCCAGCUGAAAGAAAAAUUCAUUUGUCAGAUAUACGUUGAUUGCUCGGGUGCUGCGGAUUUUAAGCAAAAAUCCGCCAUCACUAUCCAUUGGUCUUCACUGUUUUGAGGCUUUUGCUAACUUAUGAAAUUUUACCAUCGGGCCCCCCCCAAAUUGAUUUUCUGGAUCCGCCCCUGCUACCAGGGUCAUAAAAUUACCCCGGGAAAUGCCCAAAACUCCUAUGAAAGCCUUGUCAAAUGUGUGUGUGUACAGAGGAAGGGUCAAACUACUGCCAGGGUUAUAAAACUACUCCUUGAAAUGCGCAGAACUCCCAUGAAAGCCUUGUCAAAUGUGUGUUUUCAUAGGUUCAUGGUGAAGAAGGGUCACACUACCAGCAGGGUCAUAAAACUACCCCUGUAAAUGCACAGAACUCCCACGAAAGCCUUGUCAAAUGUGUGUUUUCAUAGGUUCAUGGUGCAGAAGAAGGGUCACACUACCAGCAGGGUCAUAAAACUACCCCUGUAAAUGCGCAGAACUCCCAUGAAAGCCUUGUCAAAUAUGUGUUUUCUUAAGGGGGGUAAAUCUCUGGCUGCUUACAGCUAUUUAUUUACUUACAGCUACUUAUGGCUUGACUACUUACUUACAACUAAUUACGGCUUGACGCAUAGCAACCAACCUCACAUGGGAACAUCCUCAAGGGGGGAUAUCUCUCGGUACUUGACUUUUUGGAACACCGCAAUAAAAAAUGACUUAACAAUGACGACGCAGUGAUAAGGACGGACUGGCUUACUGUAACCUCUUAGAUAAACACUUUGACAUUGGCGUUGGUUUUGAGGGCAGACCAUAAGUGCCUCAAGGAGUUACUGAUAAGGGUUGAGAGCUGCAUACCGUGGCCCGGUUCAGGUUGGGUCAGUUAAGUAUAUGCUAGGUUGGGUUAGGAGGGAUUAGAUCAAGCUAGGAUUACAUGAUGUAGAUUCUGUUUGCUGGGAAACACACUGGGAAUAAAUAGUUGGUGUCUUGAGGUUUACAGGUCAAAUUAUUAAACAUUUGACAAGGCUUUCGUAGGAGUUUUGGGCAUUUUCAGGGGAAGUUCUAUGACCCUGGUGGUAGUUUGACCCUUCUUCUGUACCAUGAGCUUAAGGAAGUUCCCAUUUGCGUUGGUUACUGUGUGUUAAUCUGUUUUUUUAGAUCAUUUUGGUAACUCACAGAAAGAAUUUUUUUUACGACUGUUCUCAAAGGUUUAUCAGUAAGGGAUAUUUGCCAAAGGAUGCUGUCAUGUGUAGGGGAGAAAGAUAUGUAUAUAAAAAAAAGACAGGAAACGAUAGCAAAUAAACAAGGAAAUGACCAAAUAAUUAUGAGAGACUGAGACAAACUGAAAUAAGAAAAAAAAUGGGGGGCAAAAUAAUCAAAGGACCCCCAAAAAUGGUCACAAAAAUAAUGAAAAAAAUAUAUAAACGAAAAAGAUAUAACUUCAAGGGAACACUCAGAAACAGGGGACAAAACCAUACAAAGGACACCAGAAAACAAAACAGAGAUGGAUAUAACUUCAAAGGACACUAAGAAACAGGAGGACAUAACCAUACAAACGACACCAGAAAACAAAGCAAAAACGGAUAUAACUUCAAAGGACACUCAGAAAUGGGGGACAAGACCAAACAAAAGGACACCAGAAAACAAAACAAAAACAGAUAAAACUUCAAAGGACACUAAGAAACAGGGGGACAUAACCAUACAAAGGACACCAAAAAACAAAAAGAUAUAACUUCAAGGGACACUCAGAAACAGGGGACAAUACAAUACAAGAGGACACCAAAAAACAAAACAAAAAAAAUAACAGUAACAAUCGGGAAAAAUAAAAAUCAGUAAAUAUAUUCUGGUAAAUGUAUAUUCGAUGUCAUUUCAAGACUCCAUAAGUACAUGGAUCAAAUUAUGGCAGCUGACCACUCAAGCCAGAGGUCAGCGAGGGGGGGGGGUGAGGAGGGGAGGGGAGGAGAGGGUUAGGUUAUGUAAGGUAAGGUUAGGUAAGGUAAGGUUAGGUAAGGUAAGGUAAGGUAAGGUUAGGUAAGUAGGUAAGGUUAGGUAAGGAAAGGAAGGAAGGUUAGGUAAGGAAAGGAAGGAAGGUACAGUCAGGUAAGGUUAGGUAAGGUCCUCUUUUCUUCUUCACUUCCAAUAUUUUCUUUUUUCUUUUUUUUUCUUUUUUUUCUUCUCUCCACUUCCAAUAUUAUCUUUUUCUUCUUUGUCUUUUCCUUCCUCUCUUGUUCCCUUCCAUAUUUUCUUCUUUUUCUUCUUUUUCUUCUCUCCCUUUCCAAUAUUUUCUUUUUUCUUAUUAUUUCUUCUAUUUUCCUUCAAAUAUUUUCUCCUUUUUCUUCUUUGUCUUCACCACCACCACCACCACCAUCACCACCACUACCACCACCACCAUCAACACCAUCAUCACCACUCUUCAAACGACAGAGUAAACGGUGGAUGGAGUCUUGAGGUGGAUAGUGGAAGGUGGAACGGGUGGUUGAGGUGGAUUGUUAAGAGGUGGAGCAGGUGGAUGACAGGGUUAGUAAGUGGAUGGUGUUGCUAGGCUGGAGUAGGCCUAGGUGGAUGGCAGGUUGUGGAAGGUUGAUGUGGAUGGAGAGGGGCCUUGUGUAGAUGGUGGAGGAGGUGGAAGA